ensembl:snRNA U7 U7 small nuclear RNA
CAGUGUUGCAACUCUUUUAGAAAUUGUCUAGCAGGUUUUUCUGGUACGCACUGGAAAACAAAA